rnacentral:rRNA from 1 species
GUGGGGAAUCUUCCGCAAUGGACGAAAGUCUGACGGAGCAACGCCGCGUGAGUGAUGAAGGUCUUCGGAUUGUAAAGCUCUGUUAAUCGGGACGAAAGAGCCUAGUGUGAAUAAUGCUAGGAAGUGACGGUACCGGAAUAGAAAGCCACGGCUAACUACGUGCCAGCAGCCGCGGUAAUACGUAGGUGGCAAGCGUUGUCCGGAAUUAUUGGGCGUAAAGCGCGCGCAGGCGGAUCUGCCAGUCUGUCUUAAAAGUUCGGGGCUUAACCCCGUGAUGGGAUGGAAACUACAGAUAUAGAGUAUCGGAGAGGAAAGUGGAAUUCCUAGUGUAGCGGUGAAAUGCGUAGAUAUUAGGAAGAACACCAGUGGCGAAGGCGACUUUCUGGACGAAAACUGACGCUGAGGCGCGAAAGCCAGGGGAGCGAACGGGAUUAGAAACCCUGGUAGUCC